UGCCCUACUAUGGUCCAACGCAUAUCACUGUUGAGAAACAGAGUGAUUUGACAGAAAUUCGUUAUUAACGAUGAUCCCACGGCGUGAUUGGCCAACAUUCAAUGUCACAUUGGUCAGAACACCAAUGUUGGUAUGAUGACAAUGAAGAUUGAACAGACGAUCCAAGCCCCCGAAAUCGACCAAUCACAUUUCAAUAGCUAACUUACCUCAGAGCUGGCGAGAGAAGACAAGCGGUCAUCUCGGUAUUUUUGAUGAUAGCUGGUGGGCGUGGUCUCUGGCUUCCCAUGCUGGCACUCCCCCACACCUGAGGCUAAUCUUCAUUCCAGCACCAUUCUGCCCUGCAUCGCUGCCAAUCACCACUACAUAAGACCUGAUCAGCCAUCCAGUCAUUUUGACACACCUUGUUAAACAUGCUAGUCCUAGUAUCGGUUUGCCUGCCAGCCUAUCUAAGUUGGAUUUUCUGUAUUCAAGGAAACCCCUCGCUCUGCUCCACAGAUUCCCCAGAUUACUGUCUGCCUGAACAUUCACCAGAUUUCCCUGUUCAGGUUUCCCUUCCUGUGAAUGCUCUGGACUGCCAAAACCCCUGCUUCAUUCCCCAGCCACACACUCAGCCUUUUUUGUGGAGACGUGCUGAUGGCAGCCUGAAUCUGAUACAGUGGAAAUAACAACGGUGAAGGAGGCCAAAAAAGCGAAGCCGUGAAUAAGACCCCUGUAGAGCCGACCCUUAAUAGUUGAAGAUUUGUUGCUUUGAUGGGUGGAGCUUGAUACGAUCUCUGAUGUACCACUCAAAGAUUAUUAUCGUUUUUAAACAGUUCUUGAAAUAGACCCACGAGGAACCGCAACGUGCAUGCAUGCACCGCAUGCAAAACUCAACACAAGACUGGCAAGACUGAAUGGCAGGCGAGCAGAGAGAGAAAAUGGCAAUAAGCCUCAGUUCAGCUGUAAAAUGUACAGUCUAAGUUACACUGAUUAAUGAACAGAGACUGCAGCUUCUCAAGAUUAAAGCUUGCAAUCGCCGCACACAAAGAAGUUAGGCCUAUAUGAUUCGACUAUAGGCAAGACUUGACAAUUCUGAUUCGACUAUGUAAAUCCUUAGUCGGGGACAGCCCUAUACCCCUGUUCCUGGAGGGUGUGCUGGACAAGACCAAGAAAAGUUUAAUUCAGCCCCAAGAAGAUCCACCUAACGGAAAGCAACGGUUUCUCUGAAAUCCAGUUUGGUGAGUUUCAAACAUUGGGCAAACAUUAAGGUGGGUAGCUGAAAAUACCCUGGGGUAUGCUGCUUACCUUGUAGCAGCUAUUAAGAGGGACACAACAGGAGGCAGCCAAGUUUCCCAAGAUCAUGCCCACAACAAGGGGAGUAUAUUGAGCCAUGCGUCAGUGAGGGCUGGUAAACCGCAGCAGCCAGAUCCAGCGGAAGCUGCGGGAUGAGGUCUGGUUGUUUAAGUCCAGUAUCUGACAGAUUGCAAGGGGAUUGCCAGUGCUGUCACGUCGGGCCUGAUCCUGCCUGUGAACUUAGAAUCUGCACCUUCAAUGCCUCCUGUUCCUAAGCACCCAGGAUGUCCUGCAAAGGCUGGCUGAGAUUAAGGCCAUCAUCACUUUACUAUAUGUUCAGAUCUUAAAAAUGGAUUCCUCAAAGUAAAUGGCCAGAAAACUAGCAGUUUGCAGCCAUGUCACUGCUACCUGGGCAACCAACGUUGGUAACGAGCAUGGACAGGUGAUCAUGUCCGUGAAGUGAAGGUUGUAUAAACCGUAGCGAGCUAUCCCUACAUUGCAGGGGAACCACUAGUGGGACCAAAGAGACUCAGGCUCUAACUGAGCGCCAUAUCCAGGCAUUUGAUGGGGUUGCUGGUCGUGACACCCACUAAUAAACUCAGCCCGAAUGAGUGAGCUCUAGAAGGUCCAGCGAAAGCAUGUAGCCUGCGUCCAGCAUCCUCAUCAUCAGCUCUCCAUGCAAAGGGCAACUGUAGUGAAAGAUGGGCACAGUCUUCCAACCUACUGCUGUGUCAGAGGUUCCACUUUGCUUGAGCCAUUUCACCUGCACAGACUUAUCCAAGGUAAAUAAGUGACUUAGUUGAA